GGUGCUGUGUCUUAGUUGGUUAAAGCGCCUGUCUAGUAAACAGGAGAUCCUGCACCA
rnacentral:tRNA from 1 species